rnacentral:sRNA from 1 species
AGGGUGAUAUGGAUGGUGCCAUCUGCCUCCCUGUAGAUCGCCCGGGAAGGCUCACCUGCUCUGGGCUGGCCGGGCGCAUGUCCCCUUCAAUCCU